rnacentral:lncRNA from 1 species
GCGCUGGUGUGGCGACACUCUCGAUGCUUGGCUACCAACUGUGGCACAUGGCUCAAACUAUCAAAACAGGAACAAGAGCUGCAAGGCUUCCAGUAUCUCUUAACUACUGCCCUGGAAAUCAAAGUAGCGCAUUUUCACCACUUAACUAUACCUCUACAAUGCCAAACCUUGAAUCAGAAGAAAUUUUCUUCAUCUUUCGCUUGUCACACUUCUGGAGCAGUUUCUUCGCUUUCAUCGGAACUAUCGUGAUUGCCGUAUUUACAAGUGUGGUUACAGGCGAAAUUAAGCAUAAAAAGGACAAAAAACUAUCCAAUGACGCCUUAGUGCGAAUUUGGCAGAAGAUCAGGAGCUAUGCUUCAAAAGAGGAACCUCAUAUUACAGAAUAUAGCUGCGAAGAAAAUUGCGUGCCUAAACCAGAAGGCGAAAGCCUCGUGAUGCAUGACCGGCCAGCUUGCACAAAUAAGCAAUUGCCGGCAAACUCACAGAAUUCUAUAUUACUUGC